AUUUUUCCUCAUUGCAACAUAAUCAAAGCAUUGAUGAGUGUUUCUGUUUAAAUACCAUUUUAAGUCUUUCAAACGACAUUCCAUCAUUAACCUUAGCAUUCAUGAGCUAUAAAAUGGGUUUUUCUUUCUGCUGAUUUAAAAAGCUGAUAUGAAGCUGUAGUGUGAAAGAAAAGAAGAAACAAAAUGCCUGCCAUAGACACUUGGUGGGGAGUGGCAAAUGGAAUCUUGGUUUGUUUUUCUCUUAGGACUUUGACAAUUAUUUUUCCUUGAAAAGAAUAAGAGAAUCUGUCUAAAAUAUUAAUACUACUUUCAGAGUUCUAGGAUAAUCUAGAGCAGAGUUUUUUUUUUUUUUUUUUUUUUUUUUUUUUAAAGAAAAGAGGUUUCAUUUCUGACAGUGGAUUUCUUCCAGUGAUGUGCAUAUUCUUUGAUAUGAAAAGCUGUAUGAAGCUGCCUUGAAUUCAGUCCGUAGAUGGAAAGUAGCAAGUACGGUCAUUAGCUAAGCAGUUGCAAGGCUGACCAUCUGAGGUUUGAUUUCUCAUCGAGAGAUAGUAUCUGACACACGUGCCACUGAGCAUGCUUGCAGGGAGGAGCCUGGACGAUCCUUCAAUAAAAUUCCAUGUUGAUGUGCAAAGGGAACUUGAAUUUCUGCUUGGCCUGUCCGAGGCCUGCAACAUGCACUUUCUCCUCGAGGGAACUGCCGUUCAUCAACAGGGACAACAGUAAAGGAACCUGAUCUUUACCAUGCCUCGUGGUGGUGGGUCACACUGCCCAGGAGGAACCCACAAGGAGACUGGCAGGUGCCUUAACCAUCUCAUUUUCUCAUCAGGAAGCCUGACCAAUUCUUCAUGGCUACGUACUUCUUGGGCAAACAUGUCUGCUCUGUUGGGAUAAAGGAUGCUCUAGACCAGGCUCUGCUGAAGGACCCAGGGCAAAGGUUUCUGACAAGACUGUGUCCAGCCUCACAUCAGGCCACAGAAGAGCCCAGGCACUCUGAGGAGCACCAGUUCGGGGCAGUCACAUGAGGAGACAGAAACAGACAUGUUGGGGCCGGCCUCUCAGGUCAGUGCAAACGCCAUUUGAGGAGGGCCAAGAGCUUUGCAGCAUAAAAUGACCAGAACAAGGGGAAACACAGAUGCAAUGGCAAUAGCUGGCAAUUUGCACAUGGCGUCAAACACCACUGCCACAGAAGCUUUUUAGCUACAAGCCACGCUAUGCAACCUUCAAGCAAAACAUUAUUGAUUUUGCGGUUGUAAAAACAUACCUUCAACUGCAGAACUCAGUUUUAUGACACCUUGAACAAAAACAAAAAGUGGCCGUUAUAUAAUGGACCCAAAUCGCCUUUUCCAGGCUUCUCAUAACACACCCAUGCUUCAGAUCUGGAUUUUUCUUUUUCUUUUUUUUUUUGCUGGCAUCGCAAGAACAUAGCUAAACAAACAUCAACUUCAAACAUAAAAUAAUUCUUAGUCUUAA